rnacentral:lncRNA from 1 species
CACCACCACCAGUUUACAAGUCUCCGCCACCACCUUACCAUUAUUCCUCACCACCACCUCCGACGCAUUCACCUCCACCACCACCGGUUUACAAGUCACCUCCACCACCUCCUCCAGUUUACAAGUCCCCGCCACCACCUUACCAUUAUUCCUCACCACCACCUCCAGUGCAUUCACCCCCACCACCACCAGUUUACAAGUCUCCGCCACCACCUUACCAUUAUUCCUCACCACCACCUCCAGGGCAUUCACCCCCGCCACCACCAGUUUACAAGUCACCGCCACCACCUCCUCCUGUUUAUAAGUCCCCUCCACUACCUCAUCAUUAUUCCUCACCACCACCUCCAGUGCAUUCACCCCCACCACCACCAAUUUAUAAGUCUCCCCCACCGCCUCCCCCAGUAUAUAAGUCACCACCACCACCUCCUCCAGUAUACAAAUCACCUCCACCACCUCCUCCAGUUUACAAAUCUCCACCACCACCAAUUUAUAAAUACAAGUCUCCUCCACCACCUCCUCCAGUUUACAAUUCCCCACCACCACCAAUCUACAAGUCUCCACCUCCACCCUACCAUUACCACUACAAUUCUCCUCCUCCUCCUCCUCAUCACUACUAAGCAAUUGUAUCCAAGUUUUUGAGGUAAUAAUGCUAAACCAAUAUAUUAACUUUCGCAUGAUAAACUUUAUCUCUAUCAAGACAAACUGCCAUGUGCAUCAUGCCAAAUACGUACACUUAGAUCCAUGAAAAUGACUAGUAGAAGGUUUUCUUAAGAACCAAGGAACAGCAUUAGUAUUCCCUCCGUUUCCAAAACUUGUGUAUUAAAUAGAUUAAUGAAUUGUUUAACAUGCUUAUCUACUUGAAAAUGCACAAUACCCAUAACCCACUGAAAUUUUUGCAGGUAAAGGGGAAGAGAAUCUGUGUUUGAGAGCUUCAUAAAGAUGUUGAAGAAUAAGAAUAAAAGCCCAAUGCGAGGAUGUUUUCAAGUUUUUCUAUGUUUCCACUUUAAUUUGUAAAUUGAAUUUUUCGACUCAAUUAAUUCCCUGUUUGUGGGGUACGUAUUGUUUUACGUACCAUGCCGUACAUGUUUGUAAGGAUUUCUAUCCUAUUGGCAAAAGUCGGUUCCAUACAAUUAAUAAAUUCAUUUCACUUCUAUUGGCUCUACUAUUUAUGCAUGGUACGACAUUUUUUCUCUCUUUCCCUUAUAUUUUGCCUUUAAUAUUAUUGAGUCAAUAUUAAUAAUGGGCCUUUUUCUUAAAAUUAUACUAUUAUACAUAGGUAGUUUGGUCUAACGCUAAAUUCAUGUUUGUCUUUCUUUUAUUCCCUUUACAUCUCAAAGUAUACUAUAGUUUGUGAUCAUUGUGGUGAUGAUAUUACCAGCUGGUACUUAUAGUUUAAGGCAGAGACAUGAUAUUAACAACUAUCUCAUUGAAACAUAAGGAAAAAUCAUGACAAGUGUGAGUCUUGGUUAAUGCACAAUUUGUUAGUGGAAUUUAUAUUUAUAAAACUCAAAAAAAAAUUUUGACAACGCUAUUACUAAUUAAUUAAGGACUUUAUUGCUAUAACUUAUCGCUUACUAGUUUAAACUAUAAAUGAUCUCAAUACUUUUCUCCAUGAUGUCGAUUUCUUUAGACUACGAAAGGGAAAAAUUAGUGACAUAUCCCUUACUGAUUACAACAUCAGCAAAAAUUAGUUAUAAACUUUUCCGGUGGUUUUAAAUCCCUCGGGCACUAAGAUUUUUUGCACAUCGAGUGAAUGAAGGAACAUAGGCAAUUCGUUCAGCAUACCAAGUCCUUGUUUAAGAUGCAAGUACUAAAAUGCAUCCUCUUCAUUAAUUUGGGAAAUUGCCAUAGUUUUUUUUUAAGCAUUUUGAUUUUUUACAUGAUUCAAAAUUUUCUUAUUGGAUACAAUCACUUUGUAUCAAGAACACAUUUUCAAUCAUCUUUUUUAUCUUCUCAAUAAGAAAAUAAAAAUUUAUUCAUGCUUUUCUAACAUAUCCAAUCAUUGAUCUGAAAAAUAAAGAAUUAAAAAAAAAAUACAUUUUCAAUCAUUGCUUACAGGGCAACUUCCCCAUGUGAACCUCUUCAAACAAAGCUAAUAAUAUGAAGGAACAUCUAAAUACACUUUUGCCCUAAAGACUGGUUGCCUUGGGGUCAAAAUUUAACCUUCGGGAGUAUAAUUACCCUGCCAAAUUUAUUAUUUUUUUAUGGGUAUAUAGUUCCAAUUUUUCCUCCUGUUAAGCUUAUAAAUAUAUUAUCACCCAGAAAAUAAAGGAAUCUUGAAUACUAACAUGUCCAUUGACUUGAGUUGUCAUCAAUUCGGCUACUUCGGCCAAUCUAAUUCACACUAGCUAGAGAAAAUGGAGAUAAAGGCACAUAGAAAAUUAUAUGUAAUAUUGAUUGGUAGUAACCACCUUGUAUUGAUCCCACUAUUGUGAAAAAAAAUUAUAAAAAAUUAGCAAAAUUUAAAAGAACAAAUUAAAUUUAUUCGUACAAAUCAGUCAAAGAAGUAGUAUUUUAAAGACCAUGAUGAAAUUAAUACUUUCAAGGUCUCUAUUAGGAAGACUUCCUUUGUUGGUGAAACUACACUAGGCACAGUUAUAUGCCUAAUUUCCUUGCCUUAAGCUGGGUGCAGAUGUUUAUAUUACAAAUAGAUGGUAUCAAAAAAUUGUUGUAAUCACGUCUGUUCUUUUUUUCUUCCUUAAUUUUUUUUCUUUAUUCUCGUGACUUCAAAAAUACGAACUCAAGAAAUUGGCUGCUCAAUCAGUACAUCAUACAGGCUUCGACAUUAAGGUAUAACUUCACAACUAGAGCCAAUAGAAAUCGUCAAAUGAUUUUUUGACAUCCAAUUUAAGCAAUAAAUUUUGUUUUCAUUUCAUAACAUAUAAUAGUACUACUUCAUGGGAGAUUUUAUAGUUUCUUUAGGGUAUCAUACCUACAAUUGAUAUUUGUCAUUGGAUAGUGAAAGAAGUGUUAAUGACUGUAAGAUUAAAUAUUGUUAAAUAUUGAAAAUUUAAACUAUUUAUCUUUAUUGAGAGAUACAACUUAAAGAAUCCUGUUUUUCAUAGAAUUUUCUCUGUUUUUCAUCAUCUGUAGACAUAAACUUUCCACGGUUGAUGUACUAUAAGGAAAUUUUGCCUAUACAAUGUGAUAGCAUUUUUUCAAAAAGAUCGACAAGAUGGAAAAUUGCCCCCUUGAACGGAAAAAAUCAUGAUCUUUCCUCAAACUAGUCUACUUGUCAAUUCUUUAAAAAAGAAUACUCGCUCCUAAGCAUAGCCUGUUCAUCUACACUGUCCCGAAGAAUUCUAUAAAGUUAGGCAAAACUAGACAAGUUGACAGGUAUAAUCAGACCCAAGAUCAGGAACAAGCAGUUGCACAUUUCAAAAUUCGCUGCUGCAACAACUAAUUUGAUGACUUACAACACUAAAUGUAAUUUUCACGUUACAUAAUAGAUUGAUAUCUAUGUUCUUUAAAUUAUCAUAAUAAUACUCUUAAUUAAAUUUAACUGAUAAAAAGUGUGAAACUAGUAAGGAAUAAAUAAUGGUGAUAAUGUACUUAAUAAUUUAACAACAGCACCAUCAGAAUUUGAGCUUUGUAUCUAUAAAUUCCACGAAUAAAUAGCUUCAUCAAAUCAAGAUUUACACUUUUCAUAAUGUUAAGUUUCCUUGACUUUCAAUGAGAUAUUUAUUAGUACCAUGCUUCGGUCUUAAACAAUGAUCACAAACGAUAGCAUCCUUUGAGUUGAAAAGGGAAGUAGUGAAAAAGAGAAGUAUAAAAUACAAUUAGCAUUCCCUCAAAUUGUAGAAAGUUAGGUAGCAUUAUAGACAAGUUGAUAGCCGUAAUUAUACUAAAAAUCAGGCAAAAGCCAGCAAUUUUACAUUUCAAAAUUCACCUAUUCAAUAACUAAUUCGAUGGCUUGCUACAUGGUCAAAAUUCACCACAUAUCCCUUUCCUCAAUCAGGGGCUUCUACAAUUACCAGUUCCAAUUGUAUGGUAUAGUUCCAAUUACCAGUUCCUCAAUCGUUCCGUCAAUUAACUGCACCAUACAAUCUAACCUGCAAUUGUAUGAACCCCAAUCUCGCUUCCUAAUCCACCAUUUUUCUCUAGGUAAUAAUCUCCCUUCUAAUUUCUUCACAAAAUGCACCUUUCAUCACCUCCAAUAGCGUCGACAUGAUCUUUACCCUAGAAGACUAUUCACCGACUCUCAAUUGACGUCAGAAAAUCUAAGAGUAAUUCUACUUUACCCUAAGAUUGAUAUCAACUAGACAAUGACAAUUUAGAAUUAUUACACGCCUGUUCCUAAUAGGAAAAAGAAAUAGAGAAGAAAGUACAGGCCUGGUCUAAUUUCUUUUCAAAGGCAAUACAACAUUACGAAAUCAAGCAUUCAUUCAUACAAAUAUUUCCUAGUCACCGAUUUGCGGAGUAGAAAAGUUUAUACAAAAACUUAAUAUUAUAUUGUUUAAGAGUUAACAAUUUAGAGCUUAAUCCUGAUACUAGCAUAAUUACCUAAUGAAUCGCGAUUGUCAAAUAAAUUUACAGUUUGAGGAAAACCCAUUCUAACGUGUACAAGUCAAAAACGUUUGUGUUGAGGUUUGGUUACGAUACCUUCCUAUUAUUUAAAAUCUCUCACAUAAUCUCCUUGUACUUUGGACUAAACUCGAACGUGAAAGGAAAUCCCAAAACCAUAUUGGGCAUGAAUUCACACAUAAUAGACCCAAAAAAAGGCAGCGGAGACUGGUGGAGAGAUUUGAGGAAUAGACGCAGACGGAAAAGCAACAAAUUUUGGCCGAAAAACGGUCACUUUCAUGGUUAAUUUUUCUACUCUCUAAUUGUACUUACCAAAUGCAACAGUGAAAUUGUAAUAUAAGCUGAAGAUGGAGUUUGAUACGUGAAAAGAAUUUUUUUAUAAAUUUUAUUUUGACCCAUAAUGUUAUCUUUAGAUACAUAAAAUAUUUUAAAAUUUUGAUUUUUGCCCAGUUAACUUUUGGUAAACAAAAAAUGCUCAUGUUUAAAAAACCGGAAAUAAAAUAAAACAAGAAAUGAAAGAAAUAAGAGGGUAGCAUAGACAUUUUGGAUUUUUCCGUUAAUUUGGAUGAUUUCCAUCCACAUUCUAAUUUAAUCCAAAACACAAAGGAAUUAUAUGGAGAUUUUUAAAUAAUGACGGAGUUUCGUGAUUGAAUCCCAAACCACAAGGGGAUUUACUAUGAAUGUUCACGAUUGAUAAAGUUAUCAAAGUACAGUUUCAGGACAACCCAUUCCAACGUGUACAAGAUGUUUAGCCUUUGAAAAGUUAAUUAGAGAAGGUGACGAGAUUUUACUAGGCUUACAUCUUCUAGGCCUCGAGAGUAAAAAAUGAAGGCCUUUGAGGGCUAUAAAAAGGGGGCUAGAUGUUGCCUAGAAGCAUAUCAGCCUCAGACCACAUUUUGUAGCAAUGGGGAGCAAAGCAAAAGCAAUUGGGUCAAGGCUGACUCCUCUUUUUACCACCGUUUUAGUGGUAUUUGUUGCUCUUGGCUUGCCUUCAGAAACUGCAGCUGAUUACGACGACUAUUCACCUCCUCCUCCUCCUUACCAUUAUUCCUCACCACCACCUCUAGUGCAUGCACCUCCACCACCUCCUCCAAUUUACAAGUCCCCGCCACCACCUUACCAUUAUUCCUCACCACCACCUCCAGUGCAUUCACCUCCACCACUUCCUCCAGUUGACAAGUCUCCGCCACCACCUUACCAUUAUUCCUCACCACCACCUCCUGUGCAAGCACCUCCACCACCAAUUUACAAGUCACCUCCACCACCUCCUCCAGUUUACAAGUCUCCACCACCACCUUACCAUUAUUCCUCACCACCACCUCCAGUGCAUUCACCCCCACCACCACCAGUUUUUAAGUCUCCGCCACCACCUUACCAUUAUUCCUCACCACCACCUCCUGUGCAUGCACCUCUACCACCAAUUUAC